rfam:Glycine max cultivar Williams 82 chromosome 13, whole genome shotgun sequence.
GGAUGGAAUGAUGAUUAUUGGUUUCCCUAUUGGUUUGAUUGCCUGAAUGAUGGCAUUUUGUAUUAGCUCUAUCUGACCAUUC